GGAUGAGCCCGCGGCCUAUCAGCUUGUUGGUGGGGUAAUGGCCUACCAAGGCUUCGACGGGUAGCCGGCCUGAGAGGGUGACCGGCCACACUGGGACUGAGACACGGCCCAGACUCCUACGGGAGGCAGCAGUGGGGAAUAUUGCGCAAUGGGCGAAAGCCUGACGCAGCGACGCCGCGUGGGGGAUGACGGCCUUCGGGUUGUAAACCUCUUUCAGCAGGGACGAAGCGAAAGUGACGGUACCUGCAGAAGAAGCACCGGCCAACUACGUGCCAGCAGCCGCGGUAAUACGUAGGGUGCAAGCGUUGUCCGGAAUUAUUGGGCGUAAAGAGCUCGUAGGCGGUUUGUUGCGUCGGCUGUGAAAACCUGAGGCUCAACCUCAGGCCUGCAGUCGAUACGAGCAAACUAGAGUGUUGCAGGGGAGACUGGAAUUCCUGGUGUAGCGGUGAAAUGCGCAGAUAUCAGGAGGAACACCGGUGGCGAAGGCGGGUCUCUGGGCAACAACUGACGCUGAGGAGCGAAAGCGUGGGGAGCGAACAGGAUUAGAUACCCUGGUAGUCCACGCCGUAAACGUUGGGCGCUAGGUGUGGGCGGAUAUCAACCCCGUCCGUGCCGAAGCUAACGCAUUAAGCACCCCGCCUGGGGAGUACGGCCGCAAGGCUAAAACUCAAAAGAAUUGACGGGGGCCCGCACAAGCGGCGGAGCAUGCGGCUUAAUUCGAUGCAACGCGAAGAACCUUAC
rnacentral:rRNA from 1 species